rnacentral:rRNA from 1 species
AUGGAAGGAGCUGUGGGUGUGUGGGCAUGGUGGCUGGGCCUCCUGUUCGGCGCUGUCCCGCUGCUCUGCCUCACCGUCUGGCACUCCACCGACGCGUGGCACUGCGCCGCCUUCGCUCUCAAACACGGCGGCCGUCGCCUCCCGCCGGGCCACAUGGGGGUCCUCUUUCUUGGCGAGACGCUCUCGCUGCUCUGGUACUUCAAGCUGGCCCGCCGCCCGGACGACUUCAUCGGCGCCAAGAAGAGCGCAUACGGCAGCGGGGCGGUGGACAGCCAGGAUACCCGGACCGGGGUGCAGGUGUUGUACAAAUCCACGUCCUCCCCCAGCAUCGUCGCCUGCUCGCCGGCCGCGAACAAGUUCGUGCUCCAGUCAGCCGAAAGCUUCGGCAUCAGGUGGCCGGUGCCGGAGCUCGUCGGCAUCACGUCGGUGGUGAACGUGGAGGGCAGCAGCCACGCCAGACUCCGUGGGUUCAUCCUCGCCGCCAUCAACCGGCCCAGCUCGCUCCAGACCAUCGCCACCGUUGUGCAACCGCGUGUAGUAGCGGCGCUGGGAACGUGGGCGGAUAAGGGUACCAUCGUCGCAGCCACAGAGAUUAAAAAAAUGACGUUUGCCAACAUCUGCAAGAUGUUCAUAAGCAUGGAGCCAUCGCCUUUGACAGACAAGAUCGAUCAGUGGUUCGGCGACUUGCUUUAUGGUCUGAGGGCAUACCCCUUUGAUUUUCCAGGGACAGCAUCUCACGGUGCUCGAAAAAUUUGGUCUCAUUCCUCUGAGGAAUUUAAUGGUAUGCAGAGUCGCCGGAAGCUAGACGCGAUCUUCCGAGAGGAUCUGGAGGCAAGGAAGAAGGUGGACAAGCAAUGUGAUGAUCUAAUGGGCGGUCUGAUGCAGAUGAAGGACGAGCAUGGAAAGAAGUUGAGUAAUGAGGAGGUAGUGGAUAACAUUGUUUCCCUUGUCAUCGCCGGCUACGAGUCCACUACCAUCGCCAUCAUGUGGGCUGUCUACCACCUCGCAAAAUCCCCUAUCGUCCUUGCCAAGCUCCGAGAGGAGAAUAUAGCGAUGAGCAAAAGCAAAGGUGGGUCGACGUCGACAACUUUGAUGAUCACCCACACCGACAUCCCAAAGAUGAAGUACACAGCCAAGGUGGUGGAAGAGACAAUCCGGAUGGCCAACAUUGCCCCCAUGGUCCACCGUGUGGCGAACAGGGACGUGGAGUACCGCGGCUACACCAUACCAAAGGGGUGGGCUGUGCUGGUGUGGUUGAGAUCCUUGCACACUGAUCCCAAUUACUACGAGGAUCCCCUCUCCUUCAAUCCUAACAGAUGGGAUGAACCGGCUAAGGCAGGAACAUACCAGGUGUUUGGAGGUGGCCCUAGGAUCUGCGCAGGCAACAUGCUGGCCAGGCUACAGAUCACCAUCAUCCUGCAUCAUCUCUGCGUCGGCUACGAAUGGGAGUUGCUCAAUCCUGAUGCGGAGAUCAAUUACCUUCCACACCCAAGGCCAGUGGAUGGUGCAGCCAUGGCCUUUCGUAAGCUUAGCACGUGA